GACGAACGCUGGCGGCGUGCUUAACACAUGCAAGUCGAACGGUGAAGCUCCAGCUUGCUGGAGUGGAUCAGUGGCGAACGGGUGAGUAACACGUGAGCAACCUGCCCCUGACUCUGGAAUAAGCGCUGGAAACGGCGUCUAAUACUGGAUACGAGAAGGGUCCGCAUGGGCACUUUCUGGAAAGUAUUUCGGUUGGGGAUGGGCUCGCGGCCUAUCAGCUUGUUGGUGAGGUAAUGGCUCACCAAGGCGACGACGGGUAGCCGGCCUGAGAGGGCGACCGGCCACACUGGGACUGAGACACGGCCCAGACUCCUACGGGAGGCAGCAGUGGGGAAUAUUGCACAAUGGGCGAAAGCCUGAUGCAGCGACGCCGCGUGAGGGAUGACGGCCUUCGGGUUGUAAACCUCUUUCAGCAGGGAAGAAGCGAAAGUGACGGUACCUGCAGAAGAAGCACCGGCUAACUACGUG
rnacentral:rRNA from 1 species